GGCUUGUUGGUCUAGUGGUACGAUUCUUGUUUCGGGUACAGGAGGUCCCGGGUUCAAACCCCGGACAAGCCU
rnacentral:tRNA from 1 species